UGUUUUACCCAAUAGGUGGGUUAAACGUAUUGGGUUGUUCUGUUGGGUUAUUCCUAGCUUGUAUUGGGUUAUUUCCAUAACAACCCAGAGAGUUGGGUUAAAAUCGGGCUCACGUCACGCAUUUUGAAUUUCAACGGUUGACCGGUGCCACUGCUGAGUGCGGACAGACACGAGAGACAUUCUUGGAGAUGUUGCAUUAAAAACCUUACAAAAUGGCCAGCAAGAUGGUUCAGCCUUCCUACAGUACCAAGAGGCAAAGCAAACAUUUAUUAAUUUGCAACCUGUAAG